rnacentral:rRNA from 1 species
AGUGAACGCUGGCGGUAGGCCUAACACAUGCAAGUCGAACGGCAGCACAGUAAGAGCUUGCUCUUACGGGUGGCGAGUGGCGGACGGGUGAGGAAUACAUCGGAAUCUACUUUUUGGUGGGGGUUAAGGAAGGGAAAUUUACGACAAUACCGCAUCCGCCUUCGGGGUGAAGGAGGGGGAUCUUCGACCCUGGGGGGAUUGAAUGGGCGGAUGUCGGUUUAGUUGGUGGGCGGGUUAAAGGCCAACCAAGGCGCGGAUCCGUGGCUGGUCUGGGAGAAUGAUCGGCCGCACGGGAACUGAGACACGGUCCAGACUCCUACGGUAGGCAGCAGUGGGGUAUAUUGGACAAUGGGCGCAAGCCUGAUCCAGCCAUACCGCGUGGGUGAAGAAGGCCUUCGGGGUGUAAAGCCCUUUUGUUGGGAAAGAAAAGCAGCAGGUUAAUACCCCGCUGUUCUGACGGUACCCAAAGAAUAAGCACCGGCUAACUUCGUG